AGAAUCAACGCUGGCGGCGUGCCUAACACAUGCAAGUCGAACGAGAAAGUGGAGCAAUCCAUGAGUAAAGUGGCGACCGGGUGAGUAACACGUGACUAACCUACCUUCAAGUGGGGGAUAACCUAGGGAAACCUGGGCUAAUACCGCAUAACAUCCUUAGAGUGGAAACUCCGGGGAUCAAAGGAGCAAUUCGCUGGAAGAGGGGGUCGCGGCUGAUUAGCUAGUUGGCGGGGUAAUGGCCCACCAAGGCUUUGAUCGGUAGCCGGCCUGAGAGGGCGCGACGGCCGACGACUGGAACUGAAACACGGUCCAGACUCCUACGGGAGGCAGCAGUGGGGAAUUUUGCGCAAUGGGGGAAACCCUGACGCAGCAACGCCGCGUGGAGGAUGAAGUCCCUUGGGACGUAAACUCCUUUCGACCGGGACGAUAAUGACGGUACCGGUAGAAGAAGCCCCGGCUAACUUCGUAGCCAGCAGCCGC
rnacentral:rRNA from 1 species